GACGAACGCUGGCGGCGUGCCUAAUACAUGCAAGUAGAACGCUGAAGCUUGGUGCUUGCACCGAGCGGAUGAGUUGCGAACGGGUGAGUAACGCGUAGGUAACCUGCCUGGUAGCGGGGGAUAACUAUUGGAAACGAUAGCUAAUACCGCAUAACAGUAGAUAUCGCAUGAUAUGUGCUUGAAAGGUGCAAUUGCAUCACUACCAGAUGGACCUGCGUUGUAUUAGCUAGUUGGUGAGGUAACGGCUCACCAAGGCAACGAUACAUAGCCGACCUGAGAGGGUGAUCGGCCACACUGGGACUGAGACACGGCCCAGACUCCUACGGGAGGCAGCAGUAGGGAAUCUUCGGCAAUGGACGGAAGUCUGACCGAGCAACGCCGCGUGAGUGAAGAAGGUUUUCGGAUCGUAAAGCUCUGUUGUAAGAGAAGAACGAGUGUGAGAGUGGAAAGUUCACACUGUGACG
rnacentral:rRNA from 1 species